UAUGGGCUUCUAUUGAAUCAAGAAAUUGGAUUGUACAUCUUUUUGAUUUUGAUAUCGAUUUUGAUACAUAUAAGGUGUCCUACGGAUAAUGCAAAUCGAAGCUAUUUGAUGUCUGACUCAGGCCUAUAUGACCGAUCGGGCGAGGUCUCUGGUUCAAGUCCAGGAUGGCCCAGCUGCGUCAGGGAAAAGAAUAGAAGAAGCAUCUGA
rnacentral:rRNA from 1 species